rnacentral:rRNA from 1 species
UCCGUAGGCGGGCAAUUAAGUCAGAGGUGAAAUUCCACAGCUCAACUGUGGAACUGCCUUUGAUACUGAUUGUCUUGAGUUAUAGUGAAGUAGAUAGAAUGUGUAGUGUAGCGGUGAAAUGCAUAGAUAUUACACAGAAUACCGAUUGCGAAGGCAGUCUACUAACUGUAUACUGACGCUAAUGGACGAAAGCGUGGGGAGCGAACAGGAUUAGAUACCAUGGUAGUCC